rnacentral:rRNA from 1 species
AUUGAACGCUGGCGGCAUGCCUUACACAUGCAAGUCGAACGGUAACAGGUCUUCGGAUGCUGACGAGUGGCGAACGGGUGAGUAAUACAUCGGAACGUGCCUAGUAGUGGGGGAUAACUACUCGAAAGAGUGGCUAAUACCGCAUGAGAUCUACGGAUGAAAGCAGGGGAUCGCAAGACCUUGUGCUACUAGAGCGGCCGAUGGCAGAUUAGGUAGUUGGUGGGAUAAAAGCUUACCAAGCCGACGAUCUGUAGCUGGUCUGAGAGGACGAUCGGCCACACUGGGACUGAGACACGGCCCGGAAUCCUACGGGAGGCAGCAGUGGGGAAUUUUGGACAAUGGGCGAAAGCCUGAUCCAGCAAUGCCGCGUGCAGGAUGAAGGCCUUCGGGUUGUAAACUGCUUUUGUACGGAACGAAAAGCCCCGGGUUAAUACCCUGGGGUCAUGACGGUACCGUAAGAAUAAGCACCGGCUAACUACGUGCCAGCAGCCGCCGUAA